GCCAGGCACGGUGGUGCAUGCCUGUAAUCCCAGUGGCUCAGAGGCUGAGGCAGGAGGAUCACGAGUUCAAAGCCAGCCUCAGUAAAAACAAGGAACUAAGAAACUCAGUGAGACCCUGUCUCUA
rnacentral:sRNA from 1 species